UACGCGAACCCCAAGCGUUAUCCGGAUUUAUUGGGCGUAAAGGGUGUGUAGGCGGUUUUGUUAGUCUCUUGUUAAAGCCCUCAGCUCAACUGAGGUUAGGCAAGGGAAACGGCGAAACUUGAAGGUGCGAGAGGUGUACGGAACUCAUGGUGUAGAGGUGAAAUUCGUUGAUAUCAUGGGGAACGCCAAAGGCGAAGGCAGUACACUGGCGCACUCUUGACGCUGAGACACGAAAGCCAGGGUAGCGAACGGG
rnacentral:misc_RNA from 1 species